GACAGAGGAGCCAAGCGUUGUCCGGAUUGACUGGGCGUAAAGGGUGCGUAGGCGGGUCUUUAAGUCAGGGGGGAAAUCCUGGAGCUCAACUCCAGAACUGCCUUUGAUACUGAGGAUCUUGAGUUCGGGAGAGGUGAGUGGAACUGCGAGUGUAGAGGUGAAAUUCGUAGAUAUUCGCAAGAACACCAGUGGCGAAGGCGGCUCACUGGCCCGAUACUGACGCUGAGGCACGAAAGCGUGGGGAGCAAACAGG
rnacentral:rRNA from 1 species